AUUGAACGCUGGCGGCAUGCCUUACACAUGCAAGUCGAACGGCAGCACGGGUGCUUGCCCCUGGUGGCGAGUGGCGAACGGGUGUGUAAUACAUCGGAACAUGUCCUGUAGUGGGGGAUAGCCCGGCGAAAGCCGGAUUAAUACCGCAUACGAUCCACGGAUGAAAGCGGGGGACCUUCGGGCCUCGCGCUAUAGGGUUGGCCGAUGGCUGAUUAGCUAGUUGGUGGGGUAAAGGCCUACCAAGGCGACGAUCAGUAGCUGGUCUGAGAGGACGACCAGCCACACUGGGACUGAGACACGGCCCAGACUCCUACGGGAGGCAGCAGUGGGGAAUUUUGGACAAUGGGCGAAAGCCUGAUCCAGCAAUGCCGCGUGUGUGAAGAAGGCCUUCGGGUUGUAAAGCACUUUUGUCCGGAAAGAAAUCCUUGACUCUAAUACAGUCGGGGGAUGACGGUACCGGAAGAAUAAGCACCGGCUAACUACGUG
rnacentral:rRNA from 1 species